CCUACGGGGGGCUGCAGUGGGGAAUAUUGGACAAUGGGGGCAACCCUGAUCCAGCCAUGCCGCGUGUGUGAAGAAGGCCCUCGGGUUGUAAAGCACUUUCAGUGAGGAAGAACGCCUGGUGGUUAAUACCCAUCAGGAAAGACAUCACUCACAGAAGAAGCACCGGCUAACUCCGUGCCAGCAGCCGCGGUAAUACGGAGGGUGCGAGCGUUAAUCGGAAUUACUGGGCGUAAAGCGCGCGUAGGUGGCUUGAUAAGCCGGUUGUGAAAGCCCCGGGCUCAACCUGGGAACGGCAUCCGGAACUGUCAAGCUAGAGUGCAGGAGAAGAAGGUAGAAUUCCCGGUGUAGCGGUGAAAUGCGUAGAGAUCGGGAGGAAUACCAGUGGCGAAGGCGGCCUUCUGGACUGACACUGACACUGAGGUGCGAAAGCGUGGGUAGCAAACAGGAUUAGAUACCCUGGUAGUC
rnacentral:rRNA from 1 species